CCCUGACGCCCAGAUCACGAUCGCCGCGCACUCCCAACCACGAACGCCGACGCCGGCUGUAGCCGUCACGCCGCCAGCCAUCCAUGCCUCGCAGCCGUCACAGCCGGUGCUUCCCCACUGAACGAGCGCCAAGGAGAAACACCGAUGUCUUUCUACAUGGUGGCCGCUCCCCUCGAUCCCCUCCAUCGCCUCCGCCGCCGCCGAGGUACGAGAUCGCCUCCAUCUUGUUCCUUCCCUGGCCAUGCCCCUCCCAAUUUCUUCCCCUCAUCCAGCUAGGGUUCUCACCCGCCGCCGCUUCCCUGCUGCUACCCGCCACCGGAUGCCCUCCACGGACACCACCACCAUGAUGGCAGAAGGAAGAGCAAGAGGGGUCGUCGAGGAUGGGUGCCGUCAUGAGGAUGCUGGCGCCCGUGUGCGGUGAUGGCAUUGUGGCGGAAGAAGGUCUUCUUCCUGGGGAGCCGCUACCAGCCUCCGUCUCCACUCGCGGCCACGCUAACAAGACAGAUCUCAAUGCUUGCUUGCUAAUGUGCGUGUGUGGAUGUUGCUGGUUGCUGCUGCUGUGCACGUCUGCUUGGUGUGCCCCUGCUGUUUUGUGUUCUCACCACCACAUCCACGACAAAUAAAAUUUCUUAGUUUUCUUAGAAUGGUUCAGGUUCGAUAUGUCAGGGCUGAAGUACGCUCCUGAGUUAAAGAAAGACCUCGAGAGACUCUGUAGAGUAUUUGUGAUGUAUCCUUCACUUACCGUGCCACGGGGUUGUCGCGGAUAUUGGUGGAGGACUUGGUGGACUAGCGCAAAAUGGAAAUCUAGAAAGAAGUGAAACUAAUCAGCUAUGAUUUUCCUGGAGUAUUUGUGCAACCAGCAGGUCGCCCAUGAGAAAUAUGAUGUCCUUUAUGCAUUUAAAAAACUACUAAAGGGAAAGUUGUGAAUCUUGUAUUGCAGAGCGUAUGCGUCAGAGGCCAGUCGGCAGAGGUGCAUGCAGGUUUGUGCUUGAGGGUGCACGCGAGUCGGCGGCUACAGGCAGAGGGUGCGGCCUGUGUGUGCGUGUUGUGGACAGUGUUGUGGUCGCCUGAUUUGAUUGUAAAUCGUGUAGAGCAAAGGCGGCUUCUGUGGCGCUGGAGCAACAAUUUCAGUGAGCACAUUGACUUGAUGCAGGGAGGGUCGUCGAAGAGAAGGACGGCGGCCCGGCCUACACAUGAUGGAACACACAUUGCCGACGAUGCGGUACCAGGCCUGGAGAAGAGAUCCCGAGUUUCCAUUCUUCUGCAACGACAGGGAGUAUGCUAUCGGUCGCAGGGUCUAGGCAUCUGGAAAGACGUACUAUUGCGCUAAUAAGGUGUUUGAUGAAAUGCCCUCCGUCCGAAAAUACUUGUCAUCAAAAUGAAUAAAAGGAGAUCACAAUGUUGGACACGACCACCUAAGAAUUGAAUAUUUUUAGUUGGAAUACUAUUUUAAUGAUCAAUCACAAUGUUGGACGCGACCACCUACUUAUUCCCGAGACUUUAAGUCUUUGGUGGCUUAAGCACAAUAUGCCCGGCAUAUGUUCUACAUCUGCGGCAUGUAAUGACCCUACUGGCAUUUCAAGAGGAUUUACUAUAUUUUUGCAGCAGGCUACAUGCUUCUCUGAAUGACCAUUUAAGGAGUGAACAUGAACUGCUGAUGUAUAUGUUCCAUGCUCCAUGGGGAGGGAACAAGGAUUGAUUUUCGCCGGGAGUAGGAAGAGUAUGGUGACUUACUUCUAUGCUUUAAGGGGCUUCCAGAACUACUUGAUUGUGAAACAAGUCACUAGAAUUGCCUAACAGAAGCACAAACACAAAUGGACACUCUGCAGUUGUAUCAGACACACCACCACAAGACCUGAUGUGUGCGUCACAAUUCUUAGCAGCGACCGUUACGACCGUGCAAUGCCAAGAUUGCUAGCGACAAGGAUUUGAGGAGGACAAGACGGUAGCUAUCGACAAGGAUUCAAGAAGGACCAGAUGCCACGGUGGUGGUUGUAAUAUUAGUCGAGACGAAUCUGAAAAAAUUGAGUCGAGAUGUGGAGAUAUGAUGGAUUUUUAAAAAAAAAAUCCAGUAAAUUUUUGCUACAGAGAACAUAUCGGUGUGCAUGUACCGAUUGCACUUGCUUCAUGGCGCAAUACGUUUAUCCUGCUACAAAAAAUGUAUUAUUUUUUAUUGAAGAAGGGGGGUUUCAAGGCAGA